AACACAUUUUAAAGUUUAUUAUCUUAAAAUUUUUAAAUACAGAGAUGAAGUCAUCUACAAUCGUAUUUUCUUUGGCGACCAUUGUGUUACUUUCAGUAAUAACUGAUGUAGCAAUGGGACAGAGUACAUUGGAUCCAAAAUGUAAAGCGUUGUGUAUUCGUUCAGACGCGGCAAAUCCAAAAGUUUUUACGCUGACAAUGUGCUGUUCAGCUUGCUUGAUUGCUGUCAAUGAAUUUUUCCUUUCGAUUUGUGGUCCUUAUUAUUAUUAGCUGCAUGCCGCUCAAGAUAAUGUGUUUGCAUUAAAAAUAAUAAUAAAGGACGUUCUUGCAAUUAUAAUGUAACUAGCGACCCGCCCCGGCUUCGCACGGUUGCAAUACUGAUACUAAAUACACUACAGAAAAACUGUGAACGUGUGGUAUAAAAUAUAUAGCCCAUGUAAUUAAAAUCGA